rnacentral:rRNA from 1 species
AACGCUGGCGGCAUGCCUUACACAUGCAAGUCGAACGGCAGCACGGGAGCAAUCCUGGUGGCGAGUGGCGAACGGGUGAGUAAUAUAUCGGAACGUGCCCAGUCGUGGGGGAUAACGUAGCGAAAGCUACGCUAAUACCGCAUACGAUCUAUGGAUGAAAGCGGGGAUCGCAAGACCUCGCGCGAUUGGAGCGGCCGAUAUCAGAUUAGGUAGUUGGUGAGGUAAAGGCUCACCAAGCCGACGAUCUGUAGCUGGUCUGAGAGGACGACCAGCCACACUGGGACUGAGACACGGCCCAGACUCCUACGGGAGGCAGCAGUGGGGAAUUUUGGACAAUGGGCGCAAGCCUGAUCCAGCAAUGCCGCGUGCAGGAUGAAGGCCUUCGGGUUGUAAACUGCUUUUGUACGGAACGAAACGGUGAGCUCUAAUACAGUUUGCUAAUGACGGUACCGUAAGAAUAAGCACCGGCUAACUACGUG